rnacentral:rRNA from 1 species
UGGGGAAUUUUGGACAAUGGGCGAAAGCCUGAUCCAGCAAUGCCGCGUGUGUGAAGAAGGCCUUCGGGUUGUAAAGCACUUUUGUCCGGAAAGAAAUCCUUGGCUCUAAUACAGUCGGGGGAUGACGGUACCGGAAGAAUAAGCACCGGCUAACUACGUGCCAGCAGCCGCGGUAAUACGUAGGGUGCAAGCGUUAAUCGGAAUUACUGGGCGUAAAGCGUGCGCAGGCGGUUUGCUAAGACCGAUGUGAAAUCCCCGGGCUCAACCUGGGAACUGCAUUGGUGACUGGCAGGCUAGAGUAUGGCAGAGGGGGGUUAGAAUUCCACGUGUAGCAGUGAAAUGCGUAGAGAUGUGGAGGAAUACCGAUGGCGAAGGCAGCCCCCCUGGGCCAAUACUGACGCUCAUGCACGAAAGCGUGGGGAGCAAACAGGAUUAGAUACCCUGGUAGUCCACGCCCUAAACGAUGUCAACUAGUUGUUGGGGAUUCAUUUUCCUUAGUAACGUAGCUAACGCGUGAAGUUGACCGCCUGGGGAGUACGGUCGCAAGAUUAAAACUC